AGUCUGCACGUUCUUUUCUUUCUUUCAAUUUUGUUUCAUAUUUUAUUUCUUUUCUUUUAUUUCAUUCAUCCUUUUUGCCAACAUGCCCCCUUUUAUUUUUCUAUUGAAUCUUUGCAAAUUCUUCUUUUGUUGCGUAAGUACACCAUUCAGGCCUGUUGUGACCCUGGUUUUCAUUCAUUCUUUUUUUUUGUCGUAGUGGUCUUAAUCAUGUUGGGGAAGAGCGUGUGGUGAUAGACGAUCCUCCAGCAAAUUAAGUUUUUGGAGGAGUUGCUGUAAGUUACGGUAAUCCUCCGACCUAGGAAUGGACAGUGACUCCAAAGCUCGGGUUUCACGAUUUUAGAUUAUGCACUAUGAACUUUUCUUUUUAUUUGUUCAUCAUGGAUAUUUUGGACUGUUUUGGGUUUUUUAUUCUUCUUAUGGACUUUUUAAUUUUUGGUUA